rnacentral:rRNA from 1 species
UACGUAGGGGCCGAGCGUUGUCCGGAGUUACUGGGCGUAAAGCGUGCGCAGGCGGCGCGUUCUGCCCGGCGUGAAAGCCCCCGGCUCAACCGGGGAACGUCGUCGGGGACGGGCGCGCUUGAGGGCGGCAGGGGCUGGUGGAACUCCCGGUGUAGUGGUGAAAUGCGUAGAGAUCGGGAAGAACACCUGUGGCGAAGGCGGCCAGCUGGGCCGGCCCUGACGCUGAGGCACGAAGGCGUGGGGAGCGAACGGG